GAGCAUUGGUAUAUGUAUCACUAAUACCAAGUAACGUAAUGUAAAGAGUAACCGAUAAGGCAUCCUUCUGAAUAGUCGUGUCGAAGACACCGAGUUGGAAGGACGUAUUACGUAUUCCUGACGUUUGCAUAGCAAGAGAUAUAAAAGCUAGAAUCCCUUUUCGAGAAAACUAAUGAUAGAUAGCCGACGCUUCCCUCUUUUGUACAUACUCUUGUUGAUCCCGGGACUAUUCCUAUUCCUUGUUUGCUGGUAAAUAUGUUGUGGCUCCUCCAUGGUAAACUGUGGAGACUUUUACGUAAAUAGUAGUCAUGGGAGACGAGGAGCGGUGAACGGUAUAAUGGCGGAAACCAACGUCCUCGGAUACAGCUACUUCUUAUGAUACAUGCGCUACCUACAGAUACUUAUGGAUACAACUAGUUCUUGCAGCAGUAAUUCCUGGAUCGGAGUCUGUCCAUAGAAUUGAAAGAAAUUGUUAAAACAGAAUGGACAUAACUGUCGUACCUAACUACAAGAAUUAUUUAAUCCCAAGUUCUGUUGUAAACUGCAAACUGCAAACAAACGAUUGAACUUAGAUAUUAGAGAAAAUUAUUUUUCGACGACACACCAUAGUCAUGCAGAUCAUGUUAUGGGAUUAUUGGUCGAGAUAGAAAGUGGUGAAAUGGAGAAAGCCAUGUCUGCACUUCAUCUUGGCAGUCAUUCAGGACCCCUGUCAACUUUAAUGUGACUUAUGAAUAAAAAAGGAGAUGAAGACUCGCGAGGGAAUAUUUGGUGGACGCAAACUUGAUGAAGGCCGUUCUGAUGUCGAGAGGCCAACGACAUCUUCUGUUACCAUAUACCGAAACAAAGUAGUCCUUUGAGAUGAGAAAAAAAAAGUAAAAAUCCAUUACGACUAUAAAUGGUCGACCUCUUAUCCAGGGUAAUAAUAGCAUCCCUAAUAACAGUACCGAAGAACAUGAAAAGUGGAGUUGCAAUGAAAACCACAACUGAAACUACCAACACCGAUAGAAGUUAAAUGAAAAAUAUUAAUAGCAAGCAUAUAACCAAGCAAAAUACAAGAACAAUGCAAUUGCAAAUAAUGUAUAGCAACAAUUUUUCAUCUGCUAUUCAAAAUAUGUAUAGAUAUUGCAUAAACAACUAUAUGACACGUAACAACACAGUAGUACCAAGUAUAGUACUAUUAAUAUAAAAAUAUGUAUAAUCGCAAGUAUAUUGUUCACUCUUUUUAUUCUUCUUUCAUUUUUUUCUUCUUCUCUGGCGCAAACUAUUUUCUUUCUCCCCCACCUGAUGAGUUAGCCUUGCCUGGCAUGCGGUCUGUGCAGUGCUGGAACCCGUAUAGCAACCUAUAACACAGAAUCGCGUUAGCGUGCAUGCACGUAACGAUACCUAAGGGCUGUGCGUGCUUGACCGCAGCCUUUCUCGUCCGACUACUCCUCCUCGAGCACCUUGCCGAGAAUCUCCCGUCUGGAAGCUGGUUCCCAUGGCGUCUCUCUAUCUCCCGGCAUUAACUAUUUUUUCUCGGGCCAAACUGGUUGGCUGGAAAUAGCCACGCCGUGCCACGACACACCGGUGUACCAGGAAUAAGAAGAGGAGUGUUGCUCCUUGCCUACCCUCGCUGGGAUGACCGCAGUUGAUACUACACAGUUCUGUGUGCAUAGAAAUGUACGGCAUAAUUAUAUCGGUAAACCCCGAGGACGUUGGAGAGUACGAUAUACCCAGAAGAUGACGUCGCGCAACGCCGGCAAGUCAUGAAUGGCGCUGUUUAUUAUUGAAAGAACGUUUUGACGUCCUUCGCAACGAGUGGAACAUGGUGGAUGACGUAUUGUGUACCUGGUACGAAGAUCUCGGCUUUAUCCCAAGACUACACGAAAUGCAAAAGGUAAAAAAAAAGAAAUCCUGUCUCCGUCGCAUACGUGAUCAGACGCGAAAUGAUCAAUCGCAGGAUUCUCCAGCUAUCCUUUUAUUUUACUGAAAGAAGCCGUAACGACGAUGCUGCUGAUGCUGGUGGUUAAAAGCUGACGUCCUUGAAUACGAUUACCAUCCCCGGGAAGGAUUUUGUCGUCCUUGCAACAAGAAUCAGUCCAGAUUAACAACGUGGGGUCCAUGAGUGUUCAAGGUAGAGGGCCUAUGAAAUUUCAACAUAUUACACAUACCAGGACAGCGAUUAGAGCAGCACACGAAUAUUUGACAGUAUUGCGAUUAGUGUGUUGAUACUAAUAGAAGACCUGGAGUGAAUAAUGGCGAUUGCACAAUAGAAAACUUGAAAACAGUCGAGCCUACGUUCUAACUGAUACCGUUGGUACUGGAGGUAUUAAUAUAGAAAGAAGGCUAACGAGAGGUAAAAAGAAACUUACAAAUUAAAAGGAAACCGGGAAAAGUCGAGAAAAGUUUAAUUAAAUAAUCUUGGGAUCGUUCACAGCGAUGAAAUAAAACUUUUCUAGACGUUGAAGAUACAGUUAUAUCUAUCGGAGACGCGAGUGCAGUGUUAAUGGACCUAGCUGAUGAUUCGAUUUAUACGUAAAUAUGAUUCAAUUUAGUAUUUCUAGAUGGUGUUACUUGAGAUAUAUUUGUUAUUUAGUUUUAUUGCAGAGGAAAUAUUAUGCAAAGUAUGUUUAAAAUUGUAUGGCAGUACUUGUACUGUACCACGUGGUACGUUGUCUUGACUCCGUUAAGUUUGAUCACUGGUUUUUUGAAAUUAAAAAUUUAUAGUAAUUUUUUGUAUCUUGGUUCGUCAUGCUAGGGGAAAAAAUUCUUGAUUGGAUAUCACGGUCGUUUGCGAGCAACAGGGAAAUAGGAACAAAAUCUGCAUACUAACGUCGAUGUACCCAUCACGGAUCCCAUCGUGAAAACUGGACGAAAGGUCACUGAGAAAUAAGAGGACCUGCGUAGAAUGGUACAAUGACCCAACGUGUUAAAUAUAUUGUGUUCCAGCACGACUGGCACGUUUUAUCGCGGUGAUAAUAUACUUUUAUAUGCUUGGUCGGAAUGACACUUUCUUCAUUUCGUUGGUUUUUUUGCUAUUAAUAUAUGCAUCUUGGUAUAGGCGCUUGGAAAGUUUUCGGGAAUUCCCGAGACUCUGGCGCCAUGGAAGGUUAGCGGAUGCGACUGGAAAAUGAUAUCCAAAUGGAAAGGCUGGAGAGCAUAGGGCAAGUUUCCAACGCCAAUUGAGCAUGAUUAUGGCGUAUGACGCGACCUCGAUUCGAUAUUGCUGCAUACGAGUGGUGUCUCUAAUUUUCUAGAAGCGCAUAGAGGCACCUGCCGCCAUUUACGUUCUCCGACUGAUUGGAAAUACUGAAUUGGUAGUGACGUCAAGAAAAAAUGUUAUGGGUUCCACUAAAGUAUUAUUGACGUUUCAACCCCGCAAUUUCCGUUACGGAUGUUCAUCUAUAGAGCAAGAUCUAGUCUAAUAUUACCUGCGUCGUAUUUCUUGAUGGUGAUGAUAUUUCUGGGACAUAGUUUUUAUAUCUUUAUCAGGAACGGAAGAAUAUCCUACAAAUUACAACAUUACCAUCGGAACGUUAAAAUGUAUUGCAUUAGCCAUUUACGAUAAUUACACUGACAAGAAUUCUCAGAAUUAAUGACAAGUUACAAAAACUGUCGAAGACAGGAAAUUCUCAUCGUUAUUAGUAACUCGUAAACGAUUGAGCAAAAAUUAUACAGGAAAAAAAAAGGA